CAGAGGUGGCAAGCGUUGUUCGGAAUUACUGGGCGUAAAGGGCGCGUAGGCGGCCUUCUAAGUCGGACGUGAAAUCCCCAGGCUUAACUUGGGAACUGCGUCUGAUACUGGAAGGCUUGAGUGCGGGAGAGGGAUGUGGAAUUCCAGGUGUAGCGGUGAAAUGCGUAGAUAUCUGGAGGAACACCGGUGGCGAAGGCGGCAUCCUGGACCGACACUGACGCUGAGGCGCGAAAGCCAGGGGAGCAAACGGGAUUAGAUACCCCGGUAGUCCUGGCCCUAAACGAUGAGUGCUUGGUGUGGCGGGUAUCGAUCCCUGCCGUGCCGAAGCUAACGCAUUAAGCACUCCGCCUGGGGAGUACGGUCGCAAGGCUG
rnacentral:rRNA from 1 species